rnacentral:rRNA from 1 species
GACGUAGGGCGCGAGCGUUGUCCGGAUUUAUUGGGCGUAAAGAGCUCGUAGGCGGCUUGUCGCGUCGUCUGUGAAAUCCCGCGGCUCAACCGCGGGUCUGCAAUCGAUACGGGCAGGCUAGAGUUCGGUAGGGGAGACUGGAAUUCCUGGUGUAGCGGUGAAAUGCGCAGAUAUCAGGAGGAACACCGGUGGCGAAGGCGGGUCUCUGGGCCGAUACUGACGCUGAGGAGCGAAAGCGUGGGGAGCAAACAGG